AAGUCGUAACAAGGUCUCCGUAGGUGAACCUGCGGAGGGAUCAUUACAGAGUUCAUGCCCUAACGGGUAGAUCUCCCACCCUGUGUUAUUAUUACUUUGUUGCUUUGGCGGGCCGUCAGGCUCACGCCCGACUACCGGCUCCGGCUGGUAAGCGCCCGCCAGAGAACCCUAAACCCUGAAUAUUAGUGUCGUCUGAGUACUAUAUAAUAGUUAAAACUUUCAACAACGGAUCUCUUGGUUCUG
rnacentral:misc_RNA from 1 species